CCUACGGGAGGCAGCAGUGAGGAAUAUUGGUCAAUGGGCGCGAGCCUGAACCAGCCAAGUAGCGUGAAGGAUGACUGCCCUACGGGUUGUAAACUUCUUUUAUAAAGGAAUAAAGUGAGGCACGUGUGCCUUUUUGUAUGUAUUUUAUGAAUAAGGAUCGGCUAACUUCGUGCCAGCAGCCGCGGUAAUAUGGAGGAUCCGAGCGUUAUCCGGAUUUAUUGGGUUUAAAGGGAGCGUAGAUGGGUUGUUAAGUCAGUUGUGAAAGUUUGCGGCUCAACCGUAAAAUUGCAAUUGAUACUGGCGGUCUUGAGUACAGUUGAGGUAGGCGGAAUUCGUGGUGUAGCGGUGAAAUGCUUAGAUAUCACGAAGAACUCCGAUUGCGAAGGCAGCUUACUAAACUGCCACUGACAUUGAUGCUCGAAAGUGUGGGUAUCAAACAGGAUUAGAUACCCCAGUAGUC
rnacentral:rRNA from 1 species